rnacentral:rRNA from 1 species
AGCGAACGCUGGCGGUAGGCCUAACACAUGCAAGUCGAACGGCCGCACAGUAAGAGCUUGCUGUUACGGGUGGAGAGUGGCGGAAGGGUGAGGACUCCAUCGGAAUCUACUUUUUCGCGGGGGGUAACGUAGGGAAAGCCACGCUAAUACCGCAUAUGACCUAGGGGUAAAAGCAGGCGUUCUUUGGACCUUGCGCGGUUGAAUGAGCCGAUGUCGGAUUGGCUAGUUGGCGGGGUAAAGGCGCUCCAAGGCGACACUCCGUAGCGGGUAUGAGCGGGUGGAUAGCCAGCCUGGAAGUGAGGCACGGUCCCGACUCCUACGGGGGGCAGCAGUGGAGAAUAUUAGGCGAUGGGGGCAAGCCUGAUCCAAGCAUACCGCGGGGGUGAAGAACGCCUUCGGGUUGGAAAGCCCUUUUGGUGUGAAAGAAAAGCAGCACGUUAAGACCCCGCUGUUCUGACGGUACCCAAAGAAGAAGCACCGGCUAACUUCGUG